GACGAACGCUGGCGGCGUGCUUAACACAUGCAAGUCGAACGGAAAGGCCCUGCUUUUGUGGGGUGCUCGAGUGGCGAACGGGUGAGUAACACGUGAGUAACCUGCCCUUGACUUUGGGAUAACUUCAGGAAACUGGGGCUACUACCGGCUAGGAGCUCCUGCUGCAUGGUGGGGGUUGGAACGUUUCGGCGGGUGGGGAUGGACUCGCGGCUUAUCAGCUUGUUGGUGGGGUGGUUGCUUACCAAGGCUUUGACGGGUAGCCGGCCUGAGAGGGUUACCGGCGACAUUGGGACUAAGGUAGGGACCAGACUGCAACGGGAGGCAGUAGGGGGGAAUAUUGCACAAUGGGCGGAAGCCUGAGGUAGAGACGCCGCGUGCGGGAUGACGGCCUUCGGGGUGUAAACCGCUUUCUCCUGUGACGAAGCGUGAGUGACGGUAAUCGGUAAAGAAGCACCGGCUAACUACGUG
rnacentral:rRNA from 1 species